rnacentral:rRNA from 1 species
GACGAACGCUGGCGGCGUGCUUAACACAUGCAAGUCGAACGAUGAAGCCGGAGCUUGCUCUGGUGAAUUAGUGGCGAACGGGUGAGUAACACGUGAGUAACCUGCCCUUGACUCUGGGAUAACUGCGGGAAACUGUAGCUAAUACCGGAUACGACCCUCGGAGGCAUCUCCUGGGGGUGGAAAGAAUUUCGGUCAAGGAUGGACUCGCGGCCUAUCAGCUAGUUGGUGAGGUAAAGGCUUACCAUGGCGAUGAUCGGUAGCUGGUCUGAGAGGAUGAUCAGCCACACUGGGACUGAGACACGGCCCAGACUCCUACGGGAGGCAGCAGUGGGGAAUUUUGGACAAUGGGGGCAACCCUGAUCCAGCCAUUCCGCGUGAGUGAAGAAGGCCUUCGGGUUGUAAAGCUCUUUUGUCGGGGACGAAACGGUUUUGGCUAAUAUCCAAGACUACUGACGGUACCCGAAGAAUAAGCACCGGCUAAC